CUGUAAAUUUACAGCGAGUUUCCUACAGUAUUUUCCAGUAUUUUGUUUAGUAACAUGCUGUAAUAUUUUAAAGAAUGGCUGUACAUCUACAGCAAGGAGCUGUUUUCAAAACUUAAUACAGUAAUAUAUCAAAAAUACAGUAACAUACUGUAAACUAGUUAAGAUACAGUAACAUACUGUACAAGCAAGGCAUUCUGGGAUUGGUUUGAACGAGGAAGUAAGAGCGGUGCAAGCUGAGCAGAGGUUUUGGUUCAGAAAACCACAUUAGAACUUUUAGAACUUCUCUUACGUCCUGUUAAUUAUGUUAUAGCUUAUAAUUAUUUAUCUUUUUAUCACUCCGCCUAUUCAGUUCAUUUAUUUUUAAUAUUAUUCGUUUUGCACUUUCCAUUGUUGAGUGAGACCGGGAACAGCGUGUGAGGCGGGAGAAUUGAAAGUUCGAGAAACAAUUCAUUACCGCUUUGACUUGAAUGAUGUCUGAGUUACAAAAAGAGAUUAAGCAAACCUUACUGUGAGUAAUACCAAGCCUUCCUGACGAGCCACUCAAUCAGUCAGUUGAGAAAUGUGUAGGCUGAGGAGUAGAAGAUUUAAUGUACGUGAAAGAAGAGGACUUCUUAAGAGUUCAUACAGCCUGUCCAAUGCCAAACUGUUCACAUGAACAAAGAAGCAGCAUUUUGGUUCAGUAAUUAGUUUGACCGAGGUCUCCUCAAAAUUCACCACAAAUGAGCUCCUCAGGCUCCUCAGUAAGAAAAUGGAUGGACUCACGCUUCAAGCAGAUGUAUUUGCCACUUCAGCAGAUGUCCAAGGAACACUCAACUUGCCUGACAGUCCUUGAAUUAUAAUUCUUGGUCAAACUCUAAGCAACCAGCAGUGGAUGGUGAGCAUUGAAGGUCACGUUGUAUGUGAGGGAACACAACUCAGCUUUGUCUGUGGCCGUACUGCUGUGUUUGCUUCAUGUGUGGACAUUUUUUCUUUGGUGUUGUUUCUUGUGACUGAAGACAGAGAAAGCAAAAUUAAAGUUAGAAAUAUUCUUUAUUCAUACACACCAGGCAAGGGUUAAAUGACAGAGAAACACAGCCCUAGGACACUGCCCUUUAUCUGCACUGAAGGGCCCGUGUCCCCCAUUCGUAUGGGGCUUUAAGACUUUAGUUACGUAAGCAUUAUCACAUAAUCUAAGGGUGGAGUACAUCUGUUGGGGCCUGAUGAGUCCACACCCAUUAGCAAGAAGUAGCACUUGUUUUUGUACACUGUAAGCAUGCAGGGUCUGCAUGACUCCUACCACACACCCCAUAGAACAUGCUUUCUGUCACAUACAUCAGAUUUGUCAAGCACAAGUUAUUGACCUGUAUUUUUUAUUUUUCCACACAUGUUAUAAUUUCAACCUCCAAUAUAGGAAGAGACUUGAAGCACCCUUGAUUUUGUUCAAAGGUAAAACAUUGGCUUAUUUUCCAUACAUACAUUUUCAUUAAAACUGACUUACACUUCCAUCAGACUUUAUUACACACUGCCUGUAAAACGUUUGCACACUCCUCUUAGACACACAGUAAGCUUAUUCUCCUUCUCAUACCCUAUUAAAUUUUUGUGACACACUAUUAACCACCCUCGACACACACCAUGAUAUUUUUUCUAUAAAUUAAAUCGGUUAAAAGUAAAUAUUGGCAAAUUCAGUUAUGUACUUGAAUCUUUUUAAGAGAAUGCAAAUUGUUGAGAGUGCAGGAACUAAGGAACUGUUUUGAAGAUGUGUUAUGGGUUCACCUUCCUACAUGAACCUGAAGAGGAACCAUUGUAGUCAUGACAAAGUGAAUGAUUUUUUUAUUUUAUAAAUAAUUAAGUACAUGUGUUUUUCUUUCUUUUUGUCAUUUCGAUGAUAUAUUGACAUCAACCCUGAACAAAUGUUCAAGGCCAAUCAAGGAAAAGCUACAUCCAAGAAGACUA